ensembl:lncRNA novel transcript, antisense to CACNA2D2
GGUCCCGCCCCACUGCCAGCACCUGGAGCAGUUUCCGCAGUCGAUGAUGGCGUUGUAGGAGGCGUUUACCGAGCCGAAGUAGUACUGGGUCUGUUUCAUGACGCAGCUGCUCUCGCGCGUCUCGGGGCUCCCCUCGGCCUCCGCGGGGUCUGCGAGGGCCCAGAGCGCCUCAGCUCCGCCCACAGACCCUGGCAAGGUCUCCGGCCUCCCUCAGUCGUAGACCCCACCCUCCCCAUGGAGUCGUCUUAGCUCAGAUUGGGGACCCGGACUUGAGGAGGCGCCUCCAAAGCCCUACCUACCUGCUUGGAACCAGCUGUGGUAGAUGAGGCCGUAGAGAAGCUGCUGGAACAGGGACCUGCAGCGCACGGGGAGCCGAGUGCAGGUGGUCAGCAGAGGACGAUGCCAUGCCCUACUUCUCUUCUGAGCCCUCCCGGCCAGGGAGCACCUUCUCUACCCACCUCCCGCUCAGGACUCACCAGGCGGCAGCAGAGGUCCACCAGGCCAGCACCAGGAAUCCUCCAUCAUCAAUGAGGACACAGAGCUGGGUGAUGCCUACGUGUUGAGAUCCUGGUCCCUCCACACACGCUCUA